AAUGCUGUUGUUUUGGCCACACAGCGUGUUACAGAAAUGCAGGCGUUUCGGAGCAGGUAACUCCACGCUCAGAUUUCCUAGACCACAGGAGAUGCUUUUUUGUCUUCUUAUAAAUAGAAUUAUUUUGCUGGAGAGAAAAGGAGGAUUCAGCAAGCCCCAUCUCCCUGAUGUAAAACAUUCACUAUUAGCUCGCAGUGAGAGGUCUGCAGCCAACAUUUCCUCUGUUUACACAGAAUUAUAUUUGGAUAAACACUAUCCAAUAUCUGAGCGGGGAGAAAAUGGAUACUUAAAGAAGCUGGUUCAGUGCCAUAUUACUGUAUUGUGGAAUAUGCUACACCGCUGGCGUCCUUGCUUAAAAUGACAGAUAUCCCAGGUGCCACCUCUAGUGCAGAGGAUCAGCUCUAACACAACAAAACUUUUCUAUCGGACACUGGAGGAAAAUGUGCAUGAAUUACGGAAUACCGACCGAUUAAUCGUCUAUGAAGCAGGCGUGUCAAUUGAAAACACUCUACCCCAUUGGAAUGUCGGAGAAAUUAAACCAGGGGCACACCAGAGAGCAGGAAAAUCCACAGCCAGGAUAGCCUUUGGGGUGUAACAAAAACAAAAGAAAAAGUACCCCGCUUACAAUCUUGCUAGAGCUGUUACUGUAUAAAUUAUUUCAAAACCCGUUAGUUAAAAUUUACAUGUGUUGCCGUACAAGACCUGUGAUUAACGUUGGACCAAUCUAAUAAAUGGUAUUGACUUAAAGUGCCGUGCUAUAAAUUCAUUAUAUAAUAAAUAAUGAUUAAGAAUGAAAUUGAUUAUAAUUGAAGUGCAGUGCAAUGAAAUUAGUUACUUAAUUUGAAAUUAAAAACUUUAAUUAAAUCCAGCCACAAUAAAUCGAUUAAAAAUAGUGGCAAUAAUAAGGCGUGAUAGAGGUAACUGCGUCCAAACUUGGACAACAAUUCAAUAAUAAAGUGCUAGGCAGUGCUAAUUCAUUAAUUCAUUAUAACUCAGGUAAUUGAUUAAAAAUUGAUUAGAGUAACCGCAUAAAUAGGGAUAAAAUUUAAAAACAAUACUCAGGUUCAUAAGUUGAAAUAAGAAAAUGGAAAAGGAGA